CUCAAAUUAAUGUUACUACUCCAAGACAUUAGCUUUUAGAAUUUACUUCUUUUCAACAUGAUUUAGGGCUUGUGAUCCAUUUGCGCAAUGCUCUCGAUUGUAUAAUUAUUUGUCUAUCUUGUAUUUGCUUGGUUAGGCUUUUGUUGUUUACAUUGCAAGUUAUGAACUUUGUUACAAUUUUUAUUAAUAAUUUAGCAGUAGCUCCUCUUUC
rnacentral:lncRNA from 1 species